rnacentral:rRNA from 1 species
GAUCCUGGCUCAGGAUGAACGCUAGCUACAGGCUUAACACAUGCAAGUCGAGGGGAAACGAUAUUGGAAGCUUGCUUCCGAUAGGCGUCGACCGGCGCACGGGUGAGUAACGCGUAUCCAACCUGCCCAUCACUUGGGAAUAACCUUGCGAAAGUAAGACUAAUGCCCAAUGACAUUUAUAGAAGGCAUCUGAAAUGAAUUAAAGAUUUAUCGGUGAUGGAUGGGGAUGCGUCUGAUUAGCUUGUUGGCGGGGUAACGGCCCACCAAGGCGACGAUCAGUAGGGGUUCUGAGAGGAAGGUCCCCCACAUUGGAACUGAGACACGGUCCAAACUCCUACGGGAGGCAGCAGUGAGGAAUAUUGGUCAAUGGGCGAGAGCCUGAACCAGCCAAGUAGCGUGCAGGAUGACGGCCCUAUGGGUUGUAAACUGCUUUUAUAAGGGAAUAAAGUGGGUCACGUGUGACUUUUUGCAUGUACUUUAUGAAUAAGGACCGGCUAAUUCCGUG